GGGCGUAUGGUCUAGUGGUACGACGUCUCAUUUGCAAUAAAUCUUCGCUGCUCUUAAGCUGUUGCAAGACAGAUGAAAGGGUUCGAACGAUACAAUGCUCCAUGUGAAGGUCCCGGGUUCAAGCCCCGGUGCGUCCA